rnacentral:rRNA from 1 species
CCGUCGAAAUACCAAAGUCAAAGGUAGGUCACAGUUCAACUAAGGGUACUCUAUCUUCUAUCAACUAGGGGUCUUUUAUUUUCUUCUUCUGUUUGUUCAACCGUCAUAAAAAUACCAACAACAUCGACCUGACUUGAAGACUUAUGAUAUAAUGACCUGACCUACUACGGUCUUCCGUACUCCAUCUGUCUUCCCUUCUGACUCGAUAGUCUCCUUGAUCAUCGUAGAGUCCUCGUUGUUGUCCUGUACCUUAGAGAGGGGCAGGGCUCGCACGUCCGGUACCACCGCCGGUGGCCGCUUCGGCUACACGGUGGCUCCAUAGAGGCCGGACGCCUCCGCCAGUGGCCGUAGCAGUUGCCGCUCCCACUCCGGGUCUAGGGGUAGUAGCUGAUGGCCUCCGACGACGACCUCGACCUAGCGGCGCCACUCCUCAGACGCGCGGAGGUGGUCCGCACGGUCCUUACCCCGAAGAAGGUCGACUAAUUGGUGUCACAGGGCCUGCUACACCACCUCCCUUACUUCCGGUUGUAAGUCGUUAAGAAAGUCGAUGGGCGUCUCUGCUUCUUUGAUAAGCGCGUCCUCGCUCCCGUCGACCUUCCGAUGCCAGUCGACAAGCAGCAGAGCCUCCUAGUCUUCGAACUGACCCGGCUAUACGAAAUGGACAUGUGUGUCGGUGGACUCUCGUCCUUGUGGUUCAAGACCGGACUGGUCGGACAAUUAAAGUCUAGCUGCGACCUAUCUAUGAGACCACGACACUUCCUCUAUCGCCUAAGGGAAAACCGCUGCUACCGUCUCUUGAACCCUGACUUUGUUCUCCACUAACGACUGUCUACGCACCCGCCUCACGUCAGACAGUCCUACUUGAUGAUGGGCGGCACGCGGGUUCGUCUGUUUCAGUAACCGAAGAGGGGCGUGAGACUGCGGCUAGAGGACUGGGAGCAGGAGGUUCACUUGGUACAGGUUCCGGACGUCUAGUUCUCCUUGCCGUCGACCAAGGGGCAGUCCGGGCAGCUCCCGCGAGAGUAGCAGUUGUAACCCCUAUAGAAACUCUAGAAGUGUUUACCCUCCAUGUCCUCGUAGCUCGUGGCACGCCAGCAGCUGGGGUUCCUCCUUGCCGACAGCAGGCGCCGCAAGGUGAGGGGCUUGUAGCUGCGGUGCUAUCCGGGCGACUUCCUCGAAUGCCGCCUGCUUCUGCUCCGGAUGUUCUGCCACCUGGUGCUCUUGAAGUACUCCGAAAAGAAGCGCUGCUUCGACCUCCCCUUCUCGAAGAACCUAGCCUACUUCGACUUCAUCGAUCGUCGACUAACGAUGCAUGGGUCGUAUCGUCCAUUUGAUACAACAACCAGGAGCGUAGUAACCGUCUAUAAGUCCAUCAAGUACUACAGAGACCUUAAAUCAAGGACUACCGGCAGAACAAUCUCGCGUUCUCUCGACUUGAACCGUUUGUAUUAUUAUGACACCAAAGAAGUCAUCAACGAGCGCUUGGUACGUACACAAGACGUUUGUAAACUAUCUAAACAAGUAUACACGAACUACAGCACAUGUUUCACCCGAUACUCGACGACACAGUAAAGUCAAAGACAGGUCACACUUUUGUCUACUAAGAGUCUUUUAUUUUAUUCUUACCUUCAACUAGGGGUCUUUUAUCUUCUUACUCUUUUGUUCGUUCAAAUGUGAAAAGAUAAAGGUACCAACAUCGACCUGACUAAAAGACUUAUAAUAUAGUGACCCACUACGCACAAGCGAUGGUAUAGACAUGGACAGAUAUACACGGUUUUCUGUACUCCAUCGGUCUAGUCUUCUGAGAUCGUAGGCUGCUUGGUCAUCGUAGAGUUAAUAGUUCUCGCCGUUCUCUACCCUAGAGAGGGGCAGGGCUCACACGUCCGGAACCACCUCCGGUGGCCGCCUCUGCUACACGGCGGCUCCAUAGAGGCCGGUCUACGCCGUCUCCUUCGCCAGUGGCCACUGCCGCUGCCGCUCCGAGUCUAGGGGUAGUAGCUGGUGGCUUCCGACGACGACCUCGACCUGGUACCGCCGCUCCUCAGACGUGCGGAGGUGUCUCGGACGGUCCUGACCCCGAAGAAGGUCAAUCAAUUGGUGUCACAGGGACUGCUACACCAGCUCUCGUACUUCCAGUUGUAGGUCGUUAAGAAGGUCGAUGGGCGUCUCUGCUUCUUCGCUAAGCGAGUCCUCGCUCCCGUCGAGCUUCCGAUGCCAGUUGAUAAGCAGCAGAGGCUCCUAGUCUUCGAGCUGACCCGACUGUACGAGAAGGAGAUGCGUGUCGGUGGGCUCUCCUCCUUCUGGUUCAAGACCGGACUGGUCGGACGAUGGAAGUCUAGCUGCGACCUAUCUAUAAGACCACGCCACUUCCUACAUAGUCUGAGGGAAAACCGAUGCUACCGCUUCUUGAACCCUGACUUUGCUCUUUGCUAGCGACUGUUUACGUAGGCACCUUACGUCAGAAAGUCUUACUUGAUGAUGGGGGGUACGCGGGUUCGUCUCUCUCAGCAACCGAACAGGGGCGUGAGACUACGAUUAGACGACUGGGAACAGGAGGUUCACUUGGUACAGGUCCCGGACGUCUAGUUCUCCUUGCCGUCGACCGAAGGGCAGUUCGGACAGGGCCCGCGAAAGUAGCAGUUGUAGCCUCUAUACGAACUCCAGAAGUGCUUGCCCUCCAUGUCCUCGUAGCUCGUGGCCCGUCAGCAGCUGGGGUUCCUUCUCGCCGACAGCCAGCGCCGCAAGGUGAAGGGUCUGUACCUGCGGUACUAUCCAGGAGACUUCCUCGACUGGCGUGUUCUUCUGCUACGGAUGUUCUGCAACCUGGAGCUCUCGAAGUACUUCUAGAAGAAGCGCUGCUUCGAGCUCCCCUUCUCGAAGAAUCUGGCCUACUUCGACUUGAUCGUCGACUCACUGCCAACUUCAGACAACAACAGCCAAUGCUUACGGCCCACGUAGACACCACAGACAAUAGCAAAGUCAAGGAUAUAUAGGUCACACUUUUUAUUUCCUUAUUACCUCCAACUAGGGGUCUUCUUCUUUGGUUCGUUCAACCGUCGUAAGAUACUAACAUCGACCUGACUAAAAGACUUAUAAUAUUUAAUAAUGACUUACUACGCGGGAGUGGUAGAAGACAGAUAUAUACGGUUUUCUGUACUCAAUCGGUCUUGUCCCCUUGGUCAUCGUAGAGGUAAGAGUUCUCGCCCGUCUCCCCUACCUUAGAGAGAGGCAGGGCUCACACGUCCGGUACCACCGCCGCUGGCCGCCUCAGCUACACGGCGGCUCCAUAGAGGCCGGUCUCCGCCAUCACCUUCGCCAGCGACCACGGCCGCUGCUGCUGCCCCUCCGAGUCUAGGGGUAGUAGCUGGUGGCCUCCGACGACGACCUCGACCUGGCGGCGCCGCUCCUCAGGAGUGCGGAGGUGUCUCGGACGGUCCUGACCCCGAAGAAGGUCAACUAAUUGGUGUUACAGGGCCUGCUGCACCACCUCCCUUACUUCCGGUCGGAGGUUCUUAAGAAGGUCGACGGGCGUCUCUGGUUCUCUGCUAAGCGCGUCGUCGUUCCCGCCGACCUUCCGAUGCCAGUCGACAAGCAGCAGAGCCUCCUAGUCUUCGAGCUGACCCGGCUGUACGAGAAGGAGAUGCGUGUCGGUGGGCUCUAGUCCUUCUGGUUCGAGACCGGACUGGUCGGGCGAUGGAAGUCUCGCCGCGACCUAUCUAUAAGGACGCGACACUUCCUCCAUCGCCUAAGGGAGAACCGCUGCUACAGCCUCUUGAACCCUGACUUCGCUCUCCACUAACGCCUGUCCACGUAGCCUCCCGACGUCAGAUAGUCUUACUUGGAGAUAGGCGGCACGCGAGUCCGUCUGUUUCAGCAGCCGGAGAGGGGCGUGAGCCUGCGGCUAGAGGACUGGGAGCAGGAGGUUCACUUGGUACAGGUUCCGGACGUCUAGUUCUCCUUGCCGUCGACCAAACGUCAGUUCGGACAGCUCCCGCGAAAGCAGCAGUUGCAACCACUAUAGAAGCUCUAGGACUGCUUGCCCUCCAUGGCCUCGUAGCUCGUGGCGCACCACCAGCUGGGGUUCCUCCUCGCCGACAGCCACCGCCGCAAGGUGAGAGGUUUGUGCGCGCGGUGCUAGCCGGGAGACUUCCUCGAACACCGCGCACGGCUGCCCCUCCUGCACCGGAUACGCUGCCACCUCGUACUCUCCGACUCCCUCGAGAAGAAGCGCUGCUUCGACCUCCCCUUCUCGAAGAACCUCGCCUACUUCGAGGGUUCAUGAUGAUCGACUUGACUUACCGCGGACAGCGUCGUCCAUUAAUAUGAUCGUUUGGUUUCAGCAACGAAGGCUUAACAAACGACAAAAGUCGAAAAGGACGUACCUAUCUCUACUUUGUAACACCACCUACUAUGGUACGUAUAGGUUUGUAUUCUUUCGUCCACGACCCGACUAUUAAGCGUAACGAUCCAUUCAUCUCAUCAUCCUACGUAGAGUAGAUCACAGAGGCUCCAAAGCCCGAAGUGAUCGACCGUAGUAAGAUAGCCAUCCAUGCAUGAGGAUCUACAACUCUUUAAGAUACACAUCGGACACACAGAUAUAUACUACUUAAACACUCUCUUUCUUUGUUCUCAGUUCCAACCCCACCCACCCUGCCCCCGGUAUAACUAACGGAGCUCGGGAGGUUACGUUCUUAAUCAAGGGAAAGACAAACCACUCUUUCAACCGAUCAUUGCUCAUAUACUUUGUUUUCAUACUCCCUUGUUCGAUUCGAUUCAAACAAAACGAUUUGGACACGGACAGACCAGACCAGACCAUAGAAUCUAUCUAUUUCCACCACCUCCAUCGUACGUAUACAUCUACCUAAUUAACAUGCUUUGAUUUCAUCAGGGAGGCAAGGUAUUACUACUAACAGUAACAAAAUCUAGUUUAAACUUUGGUGUCUUAGUAUAGUCGUCCGUCCCAACUCGGCACAGGCAGGUUUGUUCUGGCUGGUAGAGGCAGGUAGCCGAACACCUUCUAUCACGUUCUAUGAUCGUCACCACCACAGCAGACGUCGUAGUAGAGAGUUGGCCUACGCCUGAGUUUGUCGCGUCCACCGUAUCUUUCCUUCUUUCUUUCUACCCUCCGUCUUUUAUGAUAUCACGUUUCCAGUCCAUUGUGAUACCCUCGUCUCGUCUCCUCUCCUCUCCUGUGCGUAUUCAAGGUUCGGGUAAAAAAGAAAAGAAGGAGAAGAAGAGGCGGCGCCGCCGUUGAGGGGGUAGUGGCUGUACGAGGCCCUGCCCCUGCCGCUGCCGCGGUUCCAACCCGAACCUGCCCCUCAUCUAACGAAACACAGACGACUCUUUCGUUCAAAAAUCGCCUUACUUCUGGGAACCAAACCGAACUUCCUUUCUUUUCAUCCUCCCU